CGUUGCAUGUGUUUAUUUCACAACGUGCAAGCAGUGCAAGUGUGAGUUUCAGACUGUGUUAAUGGUCUUUCGAUGAUGGCUUUGGCUGCAGUGCAUGUAUUUAAUUCUGUGGAAGGUUUCGGCGUAUGUGAUUAUUUCUUGCUUCUUAAAGUGUGUGGUAGGAAGGGAAGGACCAUCCUGCAGUUGGAACCUGAGACUUGGAAUUAAACACUUGCAGAGCUGUAAACAUGGGGAGCUUGUCAGAAAUGUGGAUGUCUGAUAUUACUGAUAUUACUUUUUUUUUUGCUUAACUGGUGCUUGAUUUUCUCUUCACUAUCAAGUCCACAGAGAGAGAACAUCAGGACGUAUCCGUGGGAUUACUUGGAGGAACUCCUGACGCUUCAGCGUUCCUGCCUUGGUCAGGCAAAGCACGACGGCAGGUUGGGGGUCCUCAGCACAAGGGGAGGCACGUGCUCAUUCACUGCUCUUUCUGCACUGUGCCUUUAUUGAGCUUCCACUUUCUGAUACACUGUUCAUUACGUGUACGUGAGCCUUUCAUGUCCGCCCGAGGCUUUCUGUAGGACACCAUUCACUUCUGGGAAUGACUGCAUGGUUAUGUAGUCUGAAGUAGGAAGUUUUUUGGAAGCAGAAGUGUCCCAAAUGGGAGCGAUGCCUAAAAAGAACUGCAUUCUCUAAUUUAGCCCCAAAGCCUUUUUGUGGUUAAAUAAAAAUGGGAAGUAAUUUCUUCUGCACGUUGAAAGCUGCCUUCUUAGCAAAUGAGCGCUCCUGAGCUCUGUAGUGUAUACUCAUCCCACUGCAAAUGUAGAUCCAUUUCAUGGUAAGUGGGACUAAAAAUAUCCUUAUGAUUGCCACGUAUCUGUGACUGCGCGUAGCCUAACCCUCAUCUAAUUACUGGAAAAAGCCUUUAGCUGGCACUUGUAACUUUUAAUAGAUGCUGGAAGAAGAUGAGGUGGAGAAAAGGAUUUCAUGAGCUCGGAAGGUGAGUGUGCCAUGCGUUCAAUGACUUCCAUUUAAAGUAUUAGCACUGAUGUGGCCUUACAAUAACAUAGAACGCUUAACAGUCCCUGUAAGAAUUUCUGGUCCUUAAUUGUGGGCCUGAAGUGCCAAAAAAGGAGAAUGAUGGGCAGUGCAGUGCCAUGCUCAGUCUUCCUAUGAAUGUCAGAUAGUAUAGAAAACAAUGAUUCUUUUCAGGUUUGUUUAAUGCUUUUAAUCUGUAGAUGAACUAUUGGAUUUUGAUACAUGCUGAACUGCAGGCAUUGUGAUUUUGAAUAUUCACCAUUUGAAGCCAAGCAAUGAUUGUUCU
rnacentral:lncRNA from 1 species